rnacentral:lncRNA from 10 species
GCUUUUCCUAACAACUCGCAGAGUGAUUAAAGAAUUUUAAAGCAAGUAAUUUCACUGUGACUCCCCUAGGUUAUGAGCAGCCCAAGAGGAGGAACAAUGGUAGCUCCAGAAGUUCUAACAGGAAGAGGAAAGGGUCAGAGAUUUUAUUAAGAAAAGAAUUUUGGAGGAGUAAUCAGCGGAUUUGACUUGAAACAAUAGCUGCAGAAUAUGUUUAAUUUUGAAGAUCUACACUUUUAUUUCAGAGAAGUAUGGAGGGGCACAAUGAGUAAAUACAAAUGUUUGGUCCACUAUCUUGGAUCAGAAGGCUAGCCGAACAUCUUGGAUUCCACUGAGCUAAUUGACAUUGUAUAAUAAUGAAAAAAAUAAACAAAUUUCUCAAGACUCAAAAUAUCUAAGAAUGUAGGUCAAGAACAUUUAAGAGGGGGAAGAUGGGUGUAAAUAUCUGAGAACAUUCUGGGGAAAGGAGUUACAGUGAUGAACAAAGAAGACAUAUUUGAGAAGUGAAGAAUACAGACAACAGGAAUAAGAAAGAGCCUACUGCUGAGUUAAAACACCUCUUCAUAAUUACUUCCAAGGUACCCAAUCUCCUAUUCAAAACUGUGAUACUAUUUGUCCUUAAGGCUUGAUUAAAUUUUUAGUCAAUGUUUCUCAUCAUCCUGUUUCUGCCGAGGGUAAGGAAAAAUAUUUAUUAUUUUAUUGUUUCAAAUGCAUCAAUAUGUUGUGUUCCUCUAGUCAAAUAAUAGAAAGUGUUUAGUAACAGUACAAUAUUAUGCAAAGGUCUCUGGUUAAAGUAAGACCUUGGCUCAAAAAUGCUCACUAACUGCCCAAUACUGAGUAAAUCACUUCUUUUUCCUAAGUCUUAGUUUCCUCAUCAGUACAGGGAUGGUUAACAUAGGUUGAGUUUCUUUUCCAUAAUAUAAUUUAUUUUGAGUGCAAAAUUACAUACGUAAGUAGUUAAUAUGUAGCAGUUGUUUUAAAACUACUGUAUUUAAUUUUGGCUAAAAUCAGAAAUCAUUUGAGGUAAUCAUUAAUUUUUGCAAAUGAAGCUGCUAAAGCAC